CAGAGAGACGGAUACAAACCAUCAUUCAGUCCACGGACGCCGCCGCCGCCGCCGUCACUGGUUAAAGCGGCUGCAAAAGACACGCAACAGAGGCAGCGCAACGGAAGGGUCUGCAAGAGAGAGAGAGAGAGAGAGAGAGAGAGAGAGAGGCGGGCGUUGGGCGAGAGUCACUGGGCGAGGGGGAGGCGGAGAGAACCGGCGCCGCGACCCGGCACGUGCGUGCUCCAGGCGGCGGCAAGGGAAAGGGCGCUCGACCUGCCUUGGCAACGCCGCCCAGCCACGGGAGCGGCCUGGAGCCGCUGUUGAGCACCGCCGCAGGGAAGUAGCAGAGUCCAACAACAAUAGAAACUGGUAAUGAAGAAGCUGUGCAAGAGAAGGAAUUCUGCUACCUAGGCUUCACAGUAUAUGAAGAUAAGGGCUGUACCAAAACAUCUGGAAAAGCUUGGCAAAGACUCAUAAAAACUAAGAGCAUGCGAAAGGGAGUGACACAACUGUAAAGCUAGUGCUGUGGCUUAUUGUUGUGUGUAGAAAAUAAAAGAUGCCUGACAGCUGUGUGAAAAGGGAAAGCUGGGUGGCCAACUUAAGGCUUAACUUGGCAAUACAAAUUGCUGCAUAACAUAUAUGUGUGAACCAGUGGAUCAUGCUACAAUGCUGUCUUUCCUCACCCAUACAGCUGGCAUAAUACGCUGACUAGUGUCAAUCAGGCACUAUCCUUUUCAAGAUACUUAGAUUUUGGGUUGAAUAUGAAUGUACCAUAUUAUUACAUGAUGUUAGAAUAUUGACCCUGACUCUUACUAAAAGUUUUGGGGCAAGAGACUACCCAACCCAGGUAAUUGUACAUUUUAACAAACAUAACUGUGAUCCACUGACUAAAGUGCUGUUCAAAAGCAAGGCAUCUGUUUUAUUUACAUUCACUCUUAACACUCAUUUGGAGCUCAUUUAAAACCACUUCAGACUGGAAAGUAUUGCUAGACAUUGUUGGCUGAGUUGUAGUCUUCAAAGCAAAGUUAAUCUUCUGAGCAUGCCCAGUGUGGACUAGAUGGCUACAGAAGCCUGAGCUGAACAGAUUAAGCUGAGUGCUGAAGAAUUAAUAAAGUGUGCUUUGCCUUCUCUUAUGACUAUUUUGAACAUAUGGGCCAUUCUGUUUCCUGAGUGGCUACUAAAUGUUUUGAGACACUUAUAACUGGACAUUAACAUAUAGCUAGAGGUAGUUGAAAGUGGGCAAUAUUAGUAUAGGUAGUUAUGAUGAUAAUUACUGCUUCAUUACUUUUUUAUGCAGCAUUUUUACUUGCAUUUUCAAAUGUAUGCCUUGCAACUUUAAAAUUGAACACUUUUUUAAAAGAUACCAGUUUUCAGAAAUAUUAAUGUUGGAAAAACCUGCACUAAGCACAAAAAGGAAUUGGUAAGAUGCAGUACAGUACGUAUUUUGCAUGCAGCCCUGAAUAGUUUUGCUUCGCAGUUCUAGACAGAAUUCUCCUCUCCACAAGUAAUUUUUUCUUAACUCCCUUUGGAGGUCAUGCCAGCAUGGAAGUAAGUCAAUCUGAGUCAGCACAGAUAGUAGCUGUAUCGUUAUUCACACUUUAAAGCAAAACUAAUAUAUUUUUUCAAUUAUGGACAAAGAAUUCACAACUGCCUUUUCAACAUAUUGAGUUUCAGCUGUUUAAAAUAAUCCGUUAGAUAAAUGCCCUUUUCAAAACAAGAAAAGGAGAUUUCAGUUCACAAUGAAAAACCCAUCAUUUCAGUUAAUAAAAAACACUUGUUAAAGCAAAGAUCAGCCAUGGUGGAAAUGUAAGUUUAAAAUGAUCUGGACUAAAUGGAUGUGUAAUAAAAAACCUCUCAACAGAGAGGAAACAUUUUUACAAUU